UCUAGAUUAGAGUUUGAUCAUGGCUCAGAAUCAACGCUGGCGGCGUGCCUCAGACAUGCAAGUCGAACGCGAAACCUUCCUUCGGGAGGGGAGUAGAGUGGCGCACGGGUGAGUAACACGUAGGUAAUUUGCCUUUGGGUGGGGAAUAACUCAGGGAAACUUGAGCUAAUACCGCAUAAUGCAGCGGCUCGACAUCGAGACAGUUGUUAAAGCGGGGGAUUCCUUCGGGAACCUCGCGCCUAAAGAGAAGCCUGCGGCAGAUUAGCUAGUUGGUAAGGUAAUGGCUUACCAAGGCGACGAUCUGUAACCGGCCUGAGAGGGCGGUCGGUCACACUGACACUGACAUACGGGUCAGACUCCUACGGGAGGCAGCAGUCGGGAAUUUUGGGCAAUGGGCGAAAGCCUGACCCAGCAACGCCGCGUGAAGGAUGAAAUUUUUCGGAAUGUAAACUUCGCAAGAACGGGAAGAAUAAGUAGAAGAUAAUACCUUCUAUGAUGACGGUACCGUUUGUAAGCUCCGGCUAACUCCGUGCCAGCAGCCGCGGUAAUACGGGGGGAGCAAGCGUUGUUCGGAUUUACUGGGCGUAAAGGGCGCGUAGGCGGUCGUGACAAGUCACUUGUGAAAUCUCCGGGCUUAACUCGGAACGGUCAAGUGAUACUGUCGGACUAGAGUACAGAAGGGGCAACUGGAAUUCUCGGUGUAGCGGUGAAAUGCGUAGAUAUCGAGAGGAACACCUGCGGCGAAGGCGGGUUGCUGGGCUGAUACUGACGCUGAGGCGCGAAAGCCAGGGGAGCGAACGGGAUUAGAUACCCCGGUAGUCCUGGCCUUAACGAUGAAUGCUUGGUGUCUCGGGUUAUAAAGUCCCGGGGUGCCGUCGCUAACGCUUUUAGCAUUCCGCCUGGGGAGUACGGUCGCAAGACUGAAACUCAAAGGAAUUGACGGGGA
rnacentral:rRNA from 1 species